AUGAGACUGCUGGGUGUCCUCCUGUGCCUGCUGACAGCCCCUCACGGUUGCUGGUCCCAGGUGCAGCUGCAGGAGUCUGACCCAGGACUGGUGAAACCUUCGCAGACCCUAUCCCUCACCUGCACUGUCUCUGGUUACUCCAUCACUAGUGGUUACUGCUGGACCUGGAUCAUCCAGGCCCAAGGCAAGGGACUGGAGUGGAUCGGGUGCAUAAAUAGUGGUGGAAGCACUUACUACAGCCCGUCCUUCAAGAGUCACACCUCCAUCUCCAGAGACACGUCCAAAAACCAGUUCUCCCUGCAGUUGAGCUCCAUGAGCACCGAGGACCGAACUGUGUAUUACUGCGCAAGAGACACACUGAGGGGAAGUCAGCAAAAGCCCAGACACAAACCUCCCUGCAGGAAACAGGGAGGCUGGGCUACAGGGGGUGAUCAGGGCAGCAGAGGAAGCUGUGGAACACUACACAGCUACUUCUACACAGACUCUGAUAUCCAGGACCAAUUUUCUGGAUCCAUAUUCCUGCAUCAGCACCUGCUUCUGCUCCUGGGAAGACACUGUUCCAGUGUCUACCACAUUACUAUCCUGAAGGCUUCAUGCUGUGCACUCUGA